rnacentral:rRNA from 1 species
UACGAAGGGGGCUAGCGUUGCUCGGAAUCACUGGGCGUAAAGGGUGCGUAGGCGGGUUUUUAAGUCAGGGGUGAAAUCCUGGAGCUCAACUCCAGAACUGCCUUUGAUACUGAAGAUCUUGAGUCCGGGAGAGGUGAGUGGAACUGCGAGUGUAGAGGUGAAAUUCGUAGAUAUUGGGAAGAACACCGGUGGCGAAGGCGGCCAUCUGGACCGCAACUGACGCUGAGGCGCGAAAGCGUGGGGAGCAAACAGG